GAUGAACGCUGGCGGCGUGCCUAAUACAUGCAAGUCGAGCGAACGGACGAGAAGCUUGCUCUUCUGAUGUUAGCGGCGGACGGGUGAGUAACACGUGGAUAACCUACCUAUAAGACUGGGAUAACUUCGGGAAACCGGAGCUAAUACCGGAUAAUAUUUUGAACCGCAUGGUUCAAAAGUGAAAGACGGUCUUGCUGUCACUUAUAGAUGGAUCCGCGCUGCAUUAGCUAGUUGGUAAGGUAACGGCUUACCAAGGCAACGAUGCAUAGCCGACCUGAGAGGGUGAUCGGCCACACUGGAACUGAGACACGGUCCAGACUCCUACGGGAGGCCGCAGUAGGGAAUCUUACGCAAUGGGCGAAAGCCUGACGGAGCAACGCCGCGUGAGUGAUGAAGGUCUUCGGAUCGUAAAGCUCUGUUAUUAGGGAAGAACAUAUGUGUAAGUAACUGUGCACAUCUUGACGGUACCUAAUCAGAAAGCCACGGCUAACUACGUG
rnacentral:rRNA from 1 species